UACGUAGGGUGCAAGCGUUAAUCGGAAUUACUGGGCGUAAAGCGUGCGCAGGCGGUGAGGUAAGACAGGUGGGAAAUCCCCGGGCUUAACCUGGGAACUGCAUUUGUGACUGCAUCGCUGGAGUGCGGCAGAGGGGGACGGAAUUCCGCGUGUAGCAGUGAAAUGCGUAGAUAUGCGGAGGAACACCGAUGGCGAAAGCGGCUUCCUGGACCAGUACCGACGUUCAGGCACGAAAGCGUGGGGAGCAAACAGG
rnacentral:rRNA from 1 species